rnacentral:rRNA from 1 species
AAGGCUUGACAUAUAGGGAAAAGUGGCAGAGAUGUCAUGUCCGCAAGGGCUCUAUACAGGUGGUGCAUGGUUGUCGUCAGCUCGUGUCGUGAGAUGUUGGGUUAAGUCCCGCAACGAGCGCAACCCUCGUUCUGUGUUGCCAGCAUUUAGUUGGGGACUCACAGGAGACUGCCGGGGUUAACUCGGAGGAAGGUGGGGAUGACGUCAAAUCAUCAUGCCCCUUAUGUCUUGGGCUGCACGCAUGCUACAAUGGCCGGUACAGAGGGCUGCAAUACCGUAAGGUGGAGCGAAUCCCAAAAAGCCGGUCUCAGUUCGGAUUGAGGUCUGCAACUCGACCUCAUGAAGUUGGAGUUGCUAGUAAUCGUAGAUCAGCAUCGCUACGGUGAAUACGUUCCCGGGGC